UCUCUUUUUACACAUGCCUCUCUGUAUGUAUACACGCAACAGGGUCACCAUGGGAACGUACCGCCACAAACACAUAUAGACAAUGACUGACGUUCAGAUAAGCAGAUUUUAGAGCAUAUACGGUUAGUACAUGUAUGUCCACUUUUCUUUUUAUGUGGCAACGCUUUGAUACAUUUGUUUGUUUUUGUUUUUACACAUGCCUUUCUGUAUUUAUACAUUCAGCUUUAACAGGGUUACCAUGGAAAUGUACCUCAAUAUCUAGGCAAUGGUAUAUUGGAUGAGCAACGUUUAGAUGUACAAAGUCAUACAGCAGAUUUUAGAGCAUAUAAGGUGUGUAUGUUUACUUUUUCUUUUUUUUGUGAUGUCACUUUGAUAUAUUUGUUUUUUUUUUUCAUUUUACACAUGCUCCUCUGUAUCUAUAAACACAACAGGAUUACCAUGGAAACUAACAUCUACAUCUAGACAAAGGUAUAAAUGGAUGACGACGUCCAAAUCUACAAACAGCAGUGAGAGAAAUCCUGCAACCGAUAACGAUCACGUGACAAAUGCUUAGCUUUAAAUAGUCUAAGCUUUGCUAGGACCCGUAAAUGAAUUCAGGCAAAACUUGAAUAUAAACAAACAUCUGGAUAAUAUGUGCGGUUAUUGAAAACUCAAUCUACCUUGCAUGUGUUUUGCUGCGUAAUUCUUGGUGUUCGGUGUUUGCUGUUUUGUCAGGGAUUUGUUUGGCUAUAUAAUGGUGUUUGUGGUGGUGUUUUGGUGUUUGUUGUGUUUUUGGUGUCUUCCAUGUGGUCUUCUCGGAUGGAUUUCGAUAAUGUUUUCGUUGUUUUGUUAAAAUAGGCUUUUGAUGCGAAUUGUUUGUCGCAUUGGGUUCUUCAUCUUUCGUUCCGUUACAAGUUGAUUUUCUUUCUGCCAUUAGCAAAACAUUAUAACUAGAUUUAUUGAUGUACACAAUUAAAUAUUGCGCUAUGAUUAAUUUGUUUUACAUUUCCCAUCAGUUUUAGAUAGCUGCAAAGACAUGUCAUGAAAUUUGCAGACGACAUAUAUGGGGUGCAGGCGAGAUCUGGGUUGAACGCGCGAAAGCUGCUAAGACAUGCCAUGAAAUAUGCAGACGACAGACAUGCGGUGCAGACGAGAUCUGGGUUGAACGCGCGAAAUUGUUUUAUUCUAUUUCAGCGUUUUACUCUUUUUGUUUUGCAAUUCUUUUUUCUACUAGAAUGCUGGGGUAUGUAUACUUGAAGAAGAAAGACGCAGACGGACAUGGAGAUGCAGACCAAGCAAAAUGUGCGUUUCUCUUUAUGAUGAACAGGUAUGUAUAUUGCUACUUAUGUUAUCCUUUUUGUAUGCAUUUUUUCAACCUGGUUGCUGAUGUUUACAAGCACCUGUGAAUAUAUCAUGUUGUAGACAGUGCAAUGGUUUAGUGUAUGGUGCAGCUAUGGUACAUGAUAUUGACUACAAGCACGUGCGUGGAUGUCAUGUUGUAGAUUUCACAGUGGUUAAGUGGAUGCUGCAACUUGAUCCUUUUUCUGAGUAAUUCUGGAGCGUAGGAAUGUGCAUUCAACUUCUGGCUAUGGUGAAAGUAAAACUCGGAAGUAUCGGACAAGAAACUCAAAACUAUUCGAUGAGAAAUUCAGGCUAUCAGACGAGGAACCCGAACUAACCGACAAGAAGCAGUUUCCUGUACCAUACACGAAGAAAAAUUUAGUUGAUGGAACUACAGUUGUCGUAGAAUUGCCUUGCUGGUACUAAAAAGAUGCCGAUAACCAGAGGGGCACUGGUAACCAGUCGAUGUCGCUCAUCAGAGGUGUUCUGGACCCCUUAUGUCAACAUAGUAAUUAACUGUUCUCGACAAGCAGACGACACUUGCUGCUUCUACCAGAUGACGCCAGUGGCGGAAGAAGGGACCCGAUGCCUGGAGUAACUCUGCAGUAUAAAAUUUUGCACUGUUCGAUUGGUCAAGAUAGAGUGGUUUUAGUGGAAUUCAUCCCUUGAUGAACAUAUCGUCUGUAUUUGCCCUGUCCUGGUGAUGGUAGAGAGCUCUUCCACACCUCGUGCACAUAUCAGAAUCCGCGAGGUAGGCGACG
rnacentral:lncRNA from 1 species